AGAAUUAUACUUUCAGGGAUCAGUUCUAUAAUUUUUUAUGAGAGAAGUUUCUCUGAUCAUGUAGAGUACCCAAAACAAUGAGAAGGAACCUAAACAUCCUCUCCUGAAUAUGAAGGAGGUUCAAUGUGUUGCUUCUUCAACUACCUUUCACCAAAGUAGACAGCAUAACGAAUGCCUAGAAUCAGUAUUUUCUAGGGGAAAAAAGCACUCUGUAGGU